GUGAAUUAGCCAAGGUAAGACAGAGGUCCUGGAUGCAGAAAGGCUGUGAAACUUGUCCAUUGUGUUUAGGAAGACAAGGCCAAAAUGUAACCUGGACCACAAGAUUGUAUGUGAUGUCACCAUCCUGAAGACCUAUAACUCAGAGAUAUCCAUAUAUCUAUAUCUCCAGCUACAAUCCUCACACUCUCUCUCUGCCUCAAAGAUACGAUGGAUUGUGUCGGACCACUGCAAUAAACAUAAUGUAGAUGCCUCUCCUGGAGACUCUUUGAAUCUACUUCAUGAGAUCCAUGACACUGUCUGCUAUGUCGUUGCAGAGCUUCUUGCAAGGAAUGAUAGUGAUGUACUUGCUCAUGUGUAA
ensembl:lincRNA